rnacentral:rRNA from 1 species
ACCAGGUUGAUUCUGCCUGACGUAGACGCUAUACUCUAAGAUUAACCCAUGCAUGUUUAUUGAAUAUAAAGAAAAGACGAACAGCUCAGUAACUCUUAUUUGAUUUGAUGUAUCAGGAUUCUAACUAUGUUAAAUUAUAGGUAACAAUAAUACAAUAAGAAUAAGAUCUAUCAGUUAGUUGUUAAGGUAAUGGCUUAACAAGACUAUGACGGAUAACGGUAUUACUUUGUAAUAUUCCGGAGAAGGAGCCUGAGAGAUUGCUACUAAGUCUAAGGAUUGCAGCAGGGGCGAAACUUGACCUAUGAUAUUAUAUUGAGGCAGUUAUGAGUAGUAUUUUAUAAUUAUUGUAGUAUUGUAAGUACAUAUUACAAGAUAAAUCGGAGGGCAAAUCGAGUGCCAGCAGCCGCGG